GCUUCCCCCAUCCUUAAGUUGACCAGCAGGUUCUUGACUGCUGGCCAGCUGCAGUCUAGGCUCCCACUGAGUGGGGGACGGCAGUGGAGUUUCCCGCCGCUCCCCACCUGUGUCUGUGGCUGCUGGGGCUGCCGAGAUGGUCAGCAGGCCCCGGGAGGCUCCCACCUUGGGCUGAGCCGAAAGGUCUGCUCUGGGGCAGUCAGGAGAAGCGGAGACACGAGAGGGAGACACUCCGGGAGCAGCUCCUAGGCCACACCCACUCCAGGUCAGCCUCUGGGAGCAGCUUCUCCUAGGCCACACCCACUCCAGGUCAGCCUCUGGGAGCAGCUUCUCCUAGGCCACACCCACUCCAGGUCAGCUCUGGGAGCAGUUUCUAGGCCACACCCACUCCAGGUCAGCCUCUGGGAGCAACUUCUCCUAGGCCACACCCACUCCAGGUCAGCCUCCGCUCUGAAAGACCUCACGCCUGGCAUCUUUUAGGAUCACAUCAGAAAGCAUGGCAGCACUGGUUGUGUUCCAAUUGGUGACAAAUACCAUUCCCUUUGUAAUAGAUGAGGCUCAGCCAUUAUGAGAAAUAAACAUAGUCAGAAGAGUAAAAAAAAUUAUGAAAA